rnacentral:rRNA from 1 species
UACGUAGGGUGCGAGCGUUAAUCGGAAUUACUGGGCGUAAAGCGUGCGUAGGUGGUUUGUUAAGUCUGUUGUGAAAAGCCCCGGGCUCAACCUGGGAAUGGCAAUGGAUACUGGCAAGCUAGAGUGCGGUAGAGGGUAGUGGAAUUCCCGGUGUAGCGGUGAAAUGCGUAGAUAUCUGGAGGAACACCGGUGGCGAAGGCGGCAUCCUGGACCGGCAUUGACGCUGAGGCGCGAAAGCCAGGGGAGCAAACGGG